rfam:Amborella trichopoda AMTR_V1.0_contig_10239, whole genome shotgun sequence.
AUACCUUUCUCGGCCUUUUGGCUAAGAUCAAGUGUAGUAUCUGUUCUUAUCAGUUUAAUAUCUGAUACGUGGUCCAUAGGAUCACACGAUAUUAAAUUAAUUUUUCAGUGGGGAAAGGGCUACCACACUAGCUCGCUAGUCGGUCCCUUGAGCGCCGUCCAUGCGUUGCACUACUGCACGGGCCUGGCGCACCCCUA